rnacentral:rRNA from 1 species
GCUACCAUGCAAGUCGAACGGUCUGGUGUUUAACACCAAACGCUACAUGCUAACCGGGGAAUCACAAUUGAGCCGCGUCUUAUGAACGAGCGAAGCGAGUUCAUUACGCAACUUAAAAGUGACUAACCGGAAACGUAAGAGCGAUUGGUGUUGAACGCCAGGUAGUGGCGAACGGGUGAGUAACGCGUAAACAACCUGCCUCAUAGAUGGGGACAACACCGCGAAAGUGGUGCUAAUACCGAAUGUUUUAACUUUGCUGCAUGGCAGAGUUAAUAAAGGUGGCCUCUAAAUUAUGCUACCGUUAUGAGAGGGGUUUGCGUCUGAUUAGCUAGUUGGCGGGGUAAUGGCCCACCAAGGCGACGAUCAGUAGCCGGUCUGAGAGGAUGAACGGCCACACUGGGACUGAGACACGGCCCAGACUCCUACGGGAGGCAGCAGUGGGGAAUCUUCCGCAAUGGACGAAAGUCUGACGGAGCAACGCCGCGUGAGUGAAGAAGGUUUUCGGAUCGUAAAGCUCUGUCUUUUGGGACGAAUGUGCUGUAGGUGAAUAAUCUGUAGCAAUGACGGUACUAAAGGAGGAAGCCACGGCUAACUACGUGCCAGCAGC